rnacentral:snRNA from 1 species
GGAGGUGAGGGUGAUCCGGCUGCAACAUUUAUCACGUCAUUGAUCGCCAGGGUUGAUUCUGCCGAUCUGGUUGGCUAGGCGGGUGUCCCCUUCCUCACCGGUUCAUAUGUGUUCCUCCCAAAGCCGUGUACUCGACUAAAGAGCACGACCGUCGCCAACAGAGGAGGCCCAGUCUUAGGUCAGAGGUAUAUGAGUAGCUGCUGUUCCUUGCUAGACCCUCCAGACAAGCUCUCCAGGUGCUUUUGCCGAAGAAGGUAGGGAAGCCAAGCUUUCAAGACUCCAAACACGUCCAAGUGAAGCGCUACAGGUGGCAGUCUGCCUUCUU